rnacentral:rRNA from 1 species
UACGUAGGGUGCGAGCGUUAAUCGGAAUUACUGGGCGUAAAGCGUGCGUAGGCGGUUUCGCAAGUCCGCUGUGAAAGCCCCGGGCUUAGCCUGGGAAUGGCAGUGGAAACUAUGGGACUUGAAUCUGGCAGAGGGGGGUGGAACUCCACGUGUAGCAGUGAAAUGCGUAGAUAUGUGGAAGAACACCGAUGGCGAAGGCAGCCCCCUGGGCUGAGAUUGACGCUGAGGCACGAAAGCGUGGGGAGCAAACAGG